CCUCCACCUUGCGCAGGGCACGUCCCGGCUCCUUUCCUUCCGGCGGGCCCGCGCGGACUCGGGUGAUCUCUGGCGUCCGGCAGUCUCGAAACUGGGCGAAAAGGUACAGGUGUCCCCACCCCUGUCGGCUGGUGCAUAAGUGCCACCUAAUGGGGAGCGGCCGCGCACGUGUGGAUCUGCGUGAGUCCACUUGGCGCGCACUGGCUGAUCGCUUAGGGACCUUCCUGUUCACUAUUGAUCUCAAAGAGAGACACUUGAGACCCAACAAGAACAACGUGUUGAAGGAUCUGGAGGAGAAGUUGACUUCUCCCCGCACCAGCGCGGGCUUUAGAUAUCUCAGCAGAAGAGCAAAGAAAACAUCCUGCCUGUCGACCUUGAUUUUGCCUUCUCCUUCCUGAAUCCUCUGGAGACACUGCACUUCCUCACAGAGAAAGCGAACAGUCAAAUUAGGCCCAGCUGACCAGCCUGCAAGGAAAGUACAAUUCAAUCCUUCUGUCUUCAGUCUGCAGCUGAAGCCUGGGGUUUCCUGGUAGCCCCCAUGUAAAGCUGCUAAGUAUUUGGUUGCACACAUGACUAGGGAGGCACACCUGCACAUCACCGACCUUGUUUAUCCAGUUGUCAGUUCAGGCCAGGAAGUCUUUCGGAUGUAGCCUUCAAGGAUGACGUGGUCUCCCUUGUGUCUGCGUUUCUGCUCUUCUUCCCAGUCCUAUCUGGCAAGCAAGAUCAAGGUGGCUGAGAGAGCAAUAAAAUUCUUGGCAAAUAACCAUUUUCUACUUAAUUUACAGAAGAGACACAGAACUGCUGGCCCAAUCAGGCUGUGUCACACAAAGAGAUGUUCAGUCCUGGAAGCAGAAGGCUCCUCUUCCAUCUGCUGUGGUCAUUUACAGCCACUGGGACCAAAUUCUGGAGAAGGUAAUGGCAACCCACUCCAGUACUCUUGCUUGGAAAAAUCUCAUGGAUGGAGGAGCCUGGUAGGCUGCAGUCCAUGAGGUCUCGAAGAGUCGGAUACGACUGAGCGACUUCACUUUCACGCAUUGGAGAAGGAAAUGGC
ensembl:lncRNA